rnacentral:rRNA from 1 species
UGGCCGUAAACGAUGUGGACUUGGUGUUGGAAUGGCUCCGAGCUGCUCCAGUGCCGAAGGGAAGCUGUUAAGUCUGCUACUUGGGGAGUACGUCCGCAAGGAUGAAACUUAAAGGAAUUGGCGGGGGAGCACCGCAACGGGAGGAGCGUGCGGUUUAAUUGGAUUCAACACCGUAAAACGCACCAGGGAAGACUGUUACAUGAAAGCCGAGAUGAAGACUCUGCUAGAUUUUCAGAGAGGAGGUGCAUGGCGUCAGUGACU